GAUGAACGCUGGCGGCGUGCCUAAUACAUGCAAGUCGAGCGAACGGACGAGAAGCUUGCUUCUCUGAUGUUAGCGGCGGACGGGUGAGCAACACGUGGAUAACCUACCUAUAAGACUGGGAUAACUUCGGGAAACCGGAGCUAAUACCGGAUAAUAUUUUGAACCGCAUGGUUCAAAAGUGAAAGACGGUCUUGCCGUCUCUUAUAGAUGGAUCCGCGCUGCAUUAGCUAGUUGGUAAGGUAACGGCUUACCAAGGCAACGAUGCAUAGCCGACCUGAGAGGGUGAUCGGCCACACUGGGACUGAGACACGGUCCAGACUCCUACGGGAGGCAGCAGUAGGGAAUCUUCCGCAAUGGGCGAAAGCCUGACGGAGCAACGCCGCGUGAGUGAUGAAGGUCUUCGGAUCGUAAAGCUCUGUUAUUAGAGAAGAACAUAUGUGUAAGUAACUGUGCACAUCUUGACGGUACCUAAUCAGAAAGCCACGGCUAACUACGUG
rnacentral:rRNA from 1 species